UUGAUGCAAGAACCCACCAACAUGGAUAUCCAUGAACACACAACAUAGAGAGAGAGAGAGAGAGUUCACUAUUGAAUCUAUAAAAGAAUGUGGAGUCUUCUCUUCCUCAUCAAGCUACAUGAUCUAUAUAUGUUGAUUCAGAAGGAGUCUGUGUGUGUGUGUGUAUAUCUUCUUUAGUUUGAUGUAUGGCACACAGGGUGAAGCCAGGCAAACAAGGAAGUACCACUCAUGUAUAUAUUUUUGAUUCAAUUCAGCGUCUGAAAGACCAUAGCAAUCUCAAGAAUCAGAGCAAACCUUCAACAUAAAAAAAAUGAUAGGCAUCCCAAAUUUUGUGUCCCAAAUAUGAUGUGUCAAGCAAUGAGUUAAUUUAUGUGGGUCCUUGCGUUUAAGUUGAAAAUAAAAUAAAUCAUGUGUAAUACAUCAUAUUUGGGACACUUGGUAUAUUAAUUUUUGAGAUCUCAUAAGUGUUACCCUCAACAUAUACCUAGCUAGGACAAGUUACUUCUUUUAGUGCCCCAUUGAUAAGAAUUCCCCGACUUAAAAUGCAGACAAUAGAAUCUCUAUUGUUUUUGUAAACAAGUGGCGCCAAAAGCAAUGGGUAUCACUUGUCAUUUCAUUUUUCAACACUCACAAAAAAAUGAUAUGUUAUGCAGAAUGAAAUAUUUGAUUUUGGUAUUUUAAGAAAUCUAUUGUUUGUGAAUCAAUUAGUAUUAUUUUUAAGAGUCAAGUAUCUUUUUUACUAGACAUAAUUUUAUUUAUUAAAGUAUUUUUAAGUAUUUGUUCACCAUUAAAAUUGUGUAGGGUUUCGUUUCAUUUACUAUUUCAAGUUGUAACCUCAUUAAGGGAUUUUAGUUUUGAGUUGAAUAAAAAUUAUAGAGGCGAGCCACCUUUUAUUU